GAACUAAAGUAUGCGGGGAGCACACACGGGUGGAGCUGCGGUUUAAUUGGACUCACGCCGGGCAGCUCACCGGAUAGGACAGCGGAAUGAUAGCCGGGCUGAAGACCUUGCUUGACCAGCUGAGAGGAGGUGCAUGGCCGUCGUCAGUUCGUACUGUGAAGCAUCCUGUUUAGUCAGGCAACGAGCGAGACCCACGCCAACAGUUGCUAGCAUGUUCUCCGGAAUGAUGAGGACAAAGUUGGGACCGCCUCUGGUGGGGGGGGGGGGGGGGGUGGGCAACGGUAGGUCAGCAUGCCCCGAAUUAUCCGGGCUACACGCGGGCUACAAUGGAAAAAAACAAUGGGAAACGGCACUGAAAAGUGUAGUCAAUCUCCUAAACCUGUCCCAAGUUCGGAUUGUGGGCUGCAACUCGCCCACAUGAAGCUGGAAUCCGUAGUAAUCGCGUUUCAAAAUAGCGGGGGGAAUAAGUCCCUGCCCCUUGCACACACCGUAAU
rnacentral:rRNA from 1 species